rfam:Candidatus Staskawiczbacteria bacterium RIFCSPHIGHO2_01_FTLL_36_16 rifcsphigho2_01_scaffold_21124, whole genome shotgun sequence.
GCCGGGGUGUCGAAACUGGUAAACGAACGCGACUCAAAAUCGCGCGGGCUUACGCCCUUGAGGGUUCGAGUCCCUCCCUCGGCA